rnacentral:rRNA from 1 species
UACGUAGGGUGCAAGCGUUAAUCGGAAUUACUGGGCGUAAAGCGUGCGCAGGCGGUUUUGUAAGUCUGUCGUGAAAGCCCCGGGCUCAACCUGGGAAUUGCGAUGGAGACUGCAAGGCUUGAAUCUGGCAGAGGGGGGUAGAAUUCCACGUGUAGCAGUGAAAUGCGUAGAGAUGUGGAGGAACACCGAUGGCGAAGGCAGCCCCCUGGGUCAAGAUUGAGGCUCAUGCACGAAAGCGUGGGGAGCAAACAGG